ensembl:ncRNA asRNA:CR43683 antisense RNA:CR43683
CUCGAUCGCGGCGUCGCCGCGUCGUGGAGGCAAUAAAGACCACGGGUUGCACACCAGCACCGUCAUCUUCAGCGUCUCCAUCCUCUCCGUCCACGUCCAAGUCACCGUCGUCAGCGUCAUUAUCCCCGCCCGUUGAGUUCGACCACUCGGACGCCGACUGAUUGCUGCCAGUGGCACUAAACUUGAGGCUGCUUGACAUGCCAAACGAUACGGAUAGCGAGGCGCUGAGUGACGAGGCAUUCAACUGCUGGCUCACGUCCACGCCAUCUUCGUCCUCGAAAGCGUCGUCAAUGUGCGGGUGCUGAUGUUGCUGGUAGUGAUAUUGUUGGUAGCGGUGUCACCUGCCUGCGCCCGCACCCAACAGCAGGGCAUAAUCAUCGUUGGACUCGGGAAUUGGCGCCGCUGCCGACGCGGCACCAGGGGGCAGGCGCAGGAAACUGCCACCGCCGCCAGCACCCGCACCCGGAUCCCUUUCGCGCUCGCGAAGAUGCAGUGUGUCGCGUUGACGGGUCGACGGCUGAGAGCCUGCCGCUCCCGGCAAGUGUAGUUGUUGUUGUUGGUAGUUGCUAUUGCUACUGUUCCCAUCGUCGGCCACGCCUGCUAAAGGAAAUCGAGAUUGGGAGUGAGUAGAUUGACUUUCGGGCAGUGUAUUCAGCUUGCCAUCAUACACAGGCACGAUCAGGCGACUGGACGUUGCACCAUACAUGUUACCUGAUUGUGACGAGUUGCCCGGCAGCUGCUGAUCUUGCCGCUUGCUGAUCAGAUACUCGGACUCACUGCUGGAGCGGCGAGGACUGCGCGCCAGCGGCUGGUAUGUGCUGCGUCCCUGGAAGCGACGACUCAGUGAACUGCCCACGACGCCCAGAUGCUCGGUGACAUCCUCCUGCAUGUCGGAUAUGUCCAUCAUGGAGAGGAAGGCGCGACACCAGCUAUGGUUCGGGUUGUUCCAGUACUGCGGCGAGUUGAUGUGAAACGGAUGGUGCGGGAAGCUGUAGAUGUGAGCCACGGCCGCGAUAAACAUUUCGAUGCAGAUGAGGAAAUUCUGGUUGGCGAUAACAAAUACAUACAUAUUUGAAUUGGUUUUUGG